GUCCCUUUGGGGACGUCUGAUAAAAUUAGAACAAUACAGAGAAGAUUAACAUGGUUCCAUCACAAGGAUGAUACGCACAAAUCAAGAAAUGAUCCAAAAAUUU